CAGAGUUAGGGUCUUCUAGGCCCGAUCUCCAACCCUGUGUAUAAUUUACCAUGUUGCUUUGGCAGGCCCGUCUUUAACCGGACCGCCGGGAGUUCUUGGAGCUUCUGGCCCGUGCCUGUCAGGAGCCCCCCUAAAUUCUUGACAAAUUGUGAUGUCUGAGUAUAAAUACAAUAGUUAUA
rnacentral:misc_RNA from 1 species